rnacentral:misc_RNA from 1 species
UAAUAGAGUUAAUUUAUGGCACUCUAAAAAAAUCCAUAUCCACCUUGUGUGAAAUGUUAAAUCCUUGCCAUUUAUUUGUCAAGGUUUUUUUAUAUCAACUCUUUUUUUAUAUAUAUUUUUUAAACUGUCUGAAAAAUCGUUAUGAAUUUACUUAAUUCAAAACA